CCUACGGGUGGCUGCAGUGGGGAAUAUUGGACAAUGGGGGCAACCCUGAUCCAGCCAUGCCGCGUGUGUGAAGAAGGCCCUCGGGUUGUAAAGCACUUUCAGUGAGGAAGAACGCCUGGUGGUUAAUACCCAUCAGGAAAGACAUCACUCACAGAAGAAGCACCGGCUAACUCCGUGCCAGCAGCCGCGGUAAUACGGAGGGUGCGAGCGUUAAUCGGAAUUACUGGGCGUAAAGCGCGCGUAGGUGGCUUGAUAAGCCGGUUGUGAAAGCCCCGGGCUCAACCUGGGAACGGCAUCCGGAACUGUCAAGCUAGAGUGCAGGAGAGGAAGGUAGAAUUCCCGGUGUAGCGGUGAAAUGCGUAGAGAUCGGGAGGAAUACCAGUGGCGAAGGCGGCCUUCUGGACUGACACUGACACUGAGGUGCGAAAGCGUGGGUAGCGAACAGGAUUAGAUACCCUAGUAGUC
rnacentral:rRNA from 1 species